UCAGUCGGUCGGGCAGCCGCACUUGUCAUAUGCCGAAAGGCGGCAGGUGAGGAAAGUCCGGGCUCCAUGGAAAGACGGUGCCGGGUAACGCCCGGCGGGGGCGACCCCAGGGAUAGUGCCACAGAAAGUAAACCGCCUCGUCUUCCGUAUCGUUGUUCAGACGCUUUGAGCGAAACGCAACGACAGGGAUGACGAGGUAAGGGUGAAAGGGUGGGGUAAGAGCCCACCGCGUCUGCAGCAAUGGAGACGGCACGGUAAACCCCACCGGGAGCAAGACCGAAUAGGGACGGCGCGCCGGUUCGCAAGGACCGGCAAUCGGUUUCCGGAUCAGUCGUCCGGGUGGGUUGCAAGAGGCGGGUGGCGACAUCCGUCCCAGAUGAAUGGCUGCCACGUCGGGCGAAAGCCCGGCCAUACAGAACCCGGCUUACAGACCGGCUGACACU
rfam:Ochrobactrum sp. P6BS-III NODE_7_length_245060_cov_30.3011, whole genome shotgun sequence.